CAAUAAGCGGAGGAAAAGAAACCAACAGGGAUUACCUCAGUAACGGCGAGUGAAGCGGUAACAGCUCAAAUUUGAAAGCUAGCUCUUUUAGGGUUCGCAUUGUAAUUUGUAGAAGAUGCUUCGGGUGUGGCCCCGGUCUAAGUUCCUUGGAACAGGACGUCAUAGAGGGUGAGAAUCCCGUAUGUGACUGGGUGCUUUCGCUCAUGUGAAGCUCUUUCGACGAGUCGAGUUGUUUGGGAAUGCAGCUCAAAAUGGGUGGUAAAUUUCAUCUAAAGCUAAAUAUUGGCCAGAGACCGAUAGCGCACAAGUAGAGUGAUCGAAAGAUGAAAAGCACUUUGGAAAGAGAGUUAAACAGUACGUGAAAUUGUUGAAAGGGAAGCGCUUGCAACCAGACUUGCGCGCUGAUGAUCAUCCGGGCUUCUGCCCGGUGCACUCGUCUGCGCUCAGGCCAGCAUCGGUUUCGGUGGUGGGAUAAAGGCCUUGGGAAUGUAGCUCCUCUCGGGGAGUGUUAUAGCCCUCGGUGCAAUGCCGCCUACCGGGACCGAGG
rnacentral:rRNA from 2 species